AUGAGAUGCUUUUCUGAUUUUCUUUUUUGUAUGGUAAAGCAGAGCAACAUGUUUUGUAUGCUGUGGAUCGUCUUUCAGACAAUGUCUCUCCUGGUGGAAGCUGGAGGACAGUCUUCAGGUAGUGGUGAGGCUGGUGGUGGCAAUGGAGGAGUUGUGAAUGGAGGCAUGGUCGUUAACGCUGUUAAACCAGGGGUUAUGAAUGGGCUUGUCUUAAAUGGGCAAACCUUUCUGGCACAGGUGUUACCAGUUGGUGGAUCAUUACUUAUUCAACAACCGGGUGCACUUGGUCAGGCCGCCAUGCCCCAGCUGGUCCCCAUUGGUGCACUUCAGCAGGUUGGGGCACUUCCUGUAGGACAGGCGGGAGCAGCCAAUGGAGUGCCACUACAACAAGGACAGCUUCCUCAACUAGCCAAUAGGGUUGUACCAUUAUUUGCAGUUCUGCCACAGGCAAAUGGCAUCGGAGGCCCCCAGGCCCCAAUGUUGAUGCAGAUUAUUCCUGUGGGUGGAGGAAACAACCUUCAGCAGCCAGCGGCUGGAGGGAAGGCAAGGAAAGCUAGAGUCAAGACCAAGGUGAUUGCUGGGGAGGUGGAAGAAUCCUCCGGCUCUGACACCAGUGAAUGCUGAAGUGAGGCUGAGCCUCUGAAACCUGGACAGCAUUCUAACUAGGGUUGCACAUUUCUAGUAACUGGGACUUCUGGAAAGUGUGAAAGUUACCAGAAUCUUGCAACCGAAAAUAAAGUAUUUCAACUGUAAUACCAGAAUCUCAUCAAAUUGCCAAUUCCAGAUGACAAAUUACCUCUACUGGCAGGUUGUUCAAUUCCCGGGUGCGCCACUACAACUUGUUGUGUUGCCCGCUUGUUUGUCUCCCCAUCUUACUUCAAAAUCUAUCUCUGAAUAAACGUUAUGAAAGAAAAGUGGAAUUCCAGUCUCCUUUGACCAAAACUAAAACUAGAUUAACAGGCUGACUAUCUCGACUGUGUGUCCAUUUCCAUGUUUUGUAACGGCGUUCCCGAUGUACUGGAAAUGUUGUUACCACAGCUGAUGUCUUUGAAUAAAUUAUUAAACGGAUGGC
rnacentral:lncRNA from 13 species